AGGCCCAACCUCUCACUCCACUGAAAAAGAACGCCGCACCCGCCCGGCCCGCCCGCUCUGACAGGGAGAGAGGCCCACGGCCCAGCUCUGCAGGCGCCCUCGAGCGGAAGAGACGCACUCCGGAUUAUUAUUCCGUGCGCGCCGGCGAAUAUCCCCUCCCGUCCCGCGAGAGCGAAUAUUUCUGCGAGGAGAGCGAAUGUACCGUCCGCUUUCUCUCUUGCCUUUUGCCUUGCAGUGCACGGCCACCCGCACUCGUCUUCCUCUUCCUCUUCCUCUCCCGCCCCUGCCGUGCGCCUCUCGCUCUCUUCUCCGGAGCUCGCCUCAUUCGCCGGUCGCCGGGAGCGGCCGAGGCGCCGUCGCCCAUCACCCCUCCGUCCGCCAGGUCAGUUUAUCUGCAUCGCUUGGUACUACGUACAUGGAUUGAAUGGAGCCAUGCUUGUUAGCAGCAUAUAUUUCCGUGCCAUGUUCAUGUAUGUUGUGUUGUCUGUCGCACGGCCUACCUACAUGAACAUGAUUGAUCGGCUCGAGUGACGAGUGGUUAUGUCCCGACGUGCCGCUCGCUCGCUCCUUGCUUUGGAAGGACUAGUUACAUCUGUGCUGCUGCUGCUCCUCCUCCUCCUACGAGGAUCGCACGUGCUGACUCGUUCCAGAGCAGGAUGGUGAAAGGCGGACUGUGUCUGUUCUAGAGCACGUACGUACUCUACAUGGCAGCUGCGUGCCGUAUUUCUCCUGCCUGCCUCCUCUUCUUGUUUCAGUGUGACUGAAUUUCUCGCUAGCUAGUUUCAGCCUUUCAGCCCUGCUGUUUUGGUCGGUCAUGUGCAGUCUGGAGAGAACCUCGCAUCGUUCUUCCCAUUACUUUGGGCCGGUCUUCCGCAUCUUGCCAUCAUUCAGUUAGUUCAGACUUGAGCUACAUCUUGACAGAAUGGCUGGAACUGAUAAUUUGUUCCAGUCUUGCAGAGGAGCGGCUUUCUUUUCCGUGCAUCACAAGUUCUUACUUCAGAACAAGCCCUGGCUUCCACCAACGCGAAAGUGAAAUGUUUCUUGCUUAAUUAUUUUUGGUCGAUGCUGUCUGCCUGGUACACCUAGGUACUGGUCGUUUCCAGUUUCGAUGUGCGGUUUGGCCUCCAUUUAGGCUGGUUGUAAUGGGUAGUAUCAUACACUAGUAUCAUGUGUAUGAUACUACCUCUCUAAUGCAUAGUAUUAUAUAUUAGUAUCAUGUAGUAAUUUAUUUAUUGCCAUGCAUGACACAAAAUAGUAUAGCAUUUAAUAUGAUACGGUAUCAUGAUUAUGAUACUACACCCUCUUUUUCUUCAUUUAAUGCUAUGACACCUCAUCAAAAUUGCCUAGUUGGCAUGCAUGAUACUAGCUAUGGUACUAGCAUUACGACCAGCCUUACACUCUCAGCGGAGCACUGAUAUCGGAGGACAGCAGUGACCUAGGCAUUAAUUUGAUGGCAUAUAUGCAUAGACACGGAGAGAUGAAGCAAGCAGACACAUGUGUCAUGGUUCCAACCACCUUCAUUUUGGAGCUGGAGUAUGAUCAGGAUCAGCAGGAGCAGGCAAGGGAAGGGGGCCUUUGAUAAAAGGAAGGAACCCCCAGUCAAGAAAUAUGUUGCCCCGGCGCAACAGUCCAGCUCGUAUGGCACCAGGAAGAAGAAAAAGGCCGCCGCUCUUUCGCUCGCCGAGUGUUGCACAGGAAAGAAAAUAUUCAACUACACCAGAAGGUUACAUCGAAGUGGUGAAGAUCGAGUCGAUUUAUUCAAAGGGAUAAUCACAGCACAACAUUGGAGUACACGCAACGCAACAUGCGGCCGUGUACAUAUCGGUCACAGCUUAAUUACACUCAUCACACAAGGUACAUCCAUCUGCUCUCUCCGAGCUAAUACAAUGUAUGGCGGCUCAUCUCAAUCACCACUCACGCCCUGUGACGCUUCUGCCCAGGUGCGCAACGCAGGUACACCUCCUCUGUUCUCCAGUCUCGAAAUGUCGUUUCCGCCGAGAGCAGAGGGCCUUCUCAAGGGAGGAGGAGGGAAAAUAGGUUCAAUUCUUGCGGGGAUGCUACUCUAAAUCCGUCUCAUCUCCACGGAUGGUAUACGGAGGAGACAUGAAAUAUGAUCUCCUCGCCGGCUUUUCGGGGUAUAAUUUACACAUCUCUUUCGUUUCUGCAAAAUCAAACACACCAACUGCGGUAAGCAAAUCCGCCAGGAAUUAGGAGAUAUGACGACGACCUAUGUAUAUGUAGUGGAGGAAGAGCUUCUUUACCUUAUGAUGACUCGAUCGCCGCGACCCUCACAGGCUUCGUUACUCUUACAAUGUUCCUCACAUGCUCAAACGCCAUCACUAUCAGGCCUAUGACAUAAAGAAAGCUUAGUUGCAACUUUGCAAGUAGGUUAUACACUGCUACGGCGGCGUUGCCGGCUUCGCCUGUUCGUAUCGUGAGGGUUACAGGCCUUGCAGAAAUAAGGGCACCGGUUUCUGGUGGUGGUAAAGGGGGUCAGCGUAAGAGGUGUGCCUUCCAACAUAGCCUUCCAAAGAAUUUUGCGGCGUUCAGCAGCCGGUUGUUGAGCAUACCUGAUGUGUUUUCUGGCUGGGACGACCACUCGUGCGGCGCCGUCGCCGACUUGGUGGCCUUUAUCAGGUCCAUCAGCGCGUUGUUGACCUGUCGUAGAUUCACAGUUACAUCAGUUUCUUGUGCUUUUUACAGUUGCUCGUAGACAUGAAUGAGAGGAGAAAUCAAUAAUCAUUAUCACAACUGUAUUUCUUGUUUUCUUUGGAACAUGGAGUUGAUGACACCCUAGUUGUAUCAAUAUUUCAAUCGUACGCUUUACUGUAAAUCGUAAGGCUCUCUUUGGAACAAAAAGAAGCCAUCCUAGAUGUCAAAUGGUCUGAAAAGAGUCUCCAUGGCCAGUCUGCUAAGAUGCCUUAUUGUAACUAUAUACAUCUCUGACAACUCUAUUGAAAUUAUUUGCCCGGUUUGCAAUAGUUCUGAGUAUUUUGAUGAUUCGAUCUACCCAGCUUUACUAUUUUACCAAGCUUGAUGCUUACCUCUUGUGGUCUUUCAUGGCUGACUAGAUGUGCACCAUGAAGAUCUACCAUUCUAGCAACAGGAAGAAGCCUUUGUGCAAGCCGCCUCGCAUGACAUACUUGCGCAAUAAUAUCAUGUCUGCCAUUUGUAAAGCAAGGUGUGAGCAAUACACUUGAAAAGAAAUAGGCAACACACAUUAUGCCUGCAGAUUGAAAAAUGGAUGCAUAUCAUCUUCGAUA